UAUUUAUUUAUUUAUUAUGUAUACAGCAUAUAUGACUGUAAGCCAGAAGAGGGCACCAGAUUUCAUUACAGGUGGUUGUGAGCCACCAUAUGGUUGCUGGGAAUUGAACUCAGGACCUCUGGAAAAGCAGUCAGUGCUCUUAACCUCUGAGCCAUCUCUCCAGCCCGGAAACAUUCUUUGUAUGACUCCAGUCCUUCAAAAACUUGUGGAGAGCAGCUCUGUGGCCCAGCAUACAGUCUGUCCUGGAGAGCAUCUCUGUGGUAUUGUGCACACCUGCUGUCACUGUGUAGGCGUCCUGCUGGUGACUUUUAGGUUUGUUUUGUGCACACUGUUCAAGUCUUUUGUUCACUGGUAGCAUUGAAGUCUCUCACUGUUGCUGUUGAAUCAGCUCUUUUCUCUCUCAAUUCUGUCACAUCAAGCUCACAGAUGUUGCUGCCCUAUGUUUAGCUACAGUGAUUGGAUCCUUACACAUUGCUGAGAGACUGACAUUUUGGGUUGCUGUAUCCCAGACUGGAACUAGCAGUGACCCUUCGGCUUCAGCUUCCCGUGUACUUGGAAUACAGGCAAAUAGCUCAGGCUAGUCUUAACUCGCCAUGUCACUGGGGAUGACUUUGAACUCCUGAUCUUUGCUGUUUUGUUUUGAGACUGGGCCUUGAUAAGUCACCCAGCAUACUCUUGAAUCGUCCUGAGUCCAAGCUGGCCUUGAAGCUGUGUUCCCUUGCCUUGGCCUCCUGAGCAGCUGGAAGUUCAGGCCUUUGGCAGCAGGCCCAGCUGAUGUGGUAGGUUUUGAAGUCGAGUCUCCCUACCUAGUCCAGGCUGGCUCUGAAGGUGCAGCUCCUCUGCCCAUGCCUCUCAGGAGCUAGGAUUCCAGGCGUGCACCACCACACUUGUCUAAGUUCAAACUGUUGGGGAGCCACCAAAUGGCUAUGCCCGUGCUCAUGUUUCUGAAUGUCACCUGCGUUUCCCAGAAGACUUUAUUUCUUCCUGAGAUCAAGACAGAAAGCAAAGGGAGACCUUGGAGUUCUCCUGUCAGUCCUGGAGAACCGCUGUGGCAAUGCAGGAGAAAGGGAAGUGAAGUCAAUCAGCUCAUGCAACUUCCUACUGUUCCUGCCGUGCACUGCUAAGAGAUCACCAGAGACACUGCACUGCUAACAGAUCACUAGAGACACUGCACCACUAACGAAUUACCGGGGACACUGCACCACUGCACCGCUAAUGGAUCACCGGGGACACUGCACUGCUAACAUCACCAGAGACACUGCACCGCUAACGGAUCACUGGGGACACUGCACUGCUAACGGAUCACCAGGGACACUGCACUGUUGACAGAUCACCAGGGACCCUGCACUGCUAACAGAUCACUGGGGACACUGCACUGCUGACAGAUCACCAGGGACCCUGCACUGCUGACAGAUCACCAGGGACACUACACUGCUAACAGAUCACCGUGGACACUGCACUGCUGACAGAUCACCAGGGACACUGCACUGCUAACAGAUCACCAGGGACACUGCACUGCUAAUAGAUGAUCACCGGGGACACUGCACUGCUAACAGAUCACCGGGGACACUGUGCUGCUAACAGAUGAUCACCAGGCACACAGAAACCAAAAGCUCUUGGCUGAAGCAGUUAGGAUAGUUUAUGCGCACACGGCAGAACAGCAGUUGUCAUCCUCAUUAUUUUUGUUUUUUUCAAAUCUCUCCAAGUUUGUCUACAAUGGUUGCAAGUCUGCACACAGCUUCUGUCGGGAUCUAGAGGGAGACCCCGGUCCAAGUCUGUGGUCUAGAACGUUUUGAUGGGGUUAGUGCCCUCACCCCCUCCUUUAAGGACUCCAUUUCCUCUGACUCCAACUCCUCUUUUGUUAGUUGGUUUGCUGCUGCUGCUUCUCUUUCUUCUGGGGAGCAAUCAGCCUUGCUUGUGCUGGCAGUCGCUUUGACCCCGGCCCCUAACUGCUAUCUUAAGUCAUUUUAAUCCCGACUAUCUUCUUCUGGUUGAAAAGACAAACAAGACGAAAGUUGCGAAGUCCUGCUUCCUCUUGGUCAUCUGUUGAUAUUACACCAUCCACCCCAAGUACUGGGUCAGUCUCUUCCUUCUUCCAAAUAUAGCUGUGGCCUUUUUGCUGCUGGUAACCUGUUUUGUAAUCUCAGCUCAAUGCACUUGCAGCCAACCUAAUAGUGUCCAUACGAGUUAUAGCAGC